UAGAAAGUAAUUAAGGGCGCAUGGCGGAUGCCUUGGCUCAUGGAGGCGAUGAAGGACGUGAUAAGCUGCGAUAAGCUGCGGGUAGGUGUAAAUAACCUUUGAUCCGCGGAUUUCCGAAUGGGACAACCCAAUUACCAUAAGGUAAUUAUCAUAUAUAUGAUAUAUGAGGCGAACCGAGGGAACUGAAACAUCUUAGUACCUCGAGGAAGAGAAAAUAAACUAAUGAUUCCCCUAGUAGUGGCGAGCGAACGGGGAUUAGCCCAAACCAAUGUUGUAUUCUGCAAUGUUGGGGUUGUAGGACUACGUUGUUGUACUUGAAUUGCGAGAAGAAUAUUCUGGAAAGUUUAGCCAUAGCAGGUGAAAGCCCUUUAUUCCUGUCUCUUAUACACAUCUCCGAGCCCACGAGACUCA
rnacentral:rRNA from 1 species